AGAGAGAUAGUCUCCGAGGUC
rnacentral:misc_RNA from 1 species